rnacentral:rRNA from 1 species
CCUACGGGUGGCAGCAGUGGGGAAUAUUGGGCAAUGGAGGCAACUCUUACCCAGCAAUGCCGCGUGAAUGAAGAAGGUCUUCGGUUUGUAACGCUCUUUAAUUGGGGACGAAAAAAAUGACGGUAUCUAAGGAAUAAGCCUCGGCUAACAACGUGCCAGCAGCCGCGGUAAUACGUAGGGGGCAAGCGUUGGUCGGAAUGACUGGGCGUAAAGGGUUUGUAGGCGGUGAAGAAAGUUAGAAGGGAAAUACCUAGAGCUUAACUCAGGUGCUGCUUCUAAAACUGCUAUACUUGAGUGCAGUAGAGGAAAGUGGAAUUCCUAGUGUAGCGGUGGAAUGCGUAGAUAUUAGGAGGAACAUCAGUGGCGAAGGCGACUUACUGGACUGUAACUGACGCUGAGGCACGAAAGUGUGGGGAGCAAACAGGAUUAGAUACCCCAGUAGUC